CGUAAACUUUUAACUACACCUACAUCGCCAGGGAACUACGAGCAAAGCUUAAAACCCAAAGGACUUGACGGUACCCCACAUCCACCUAGAGGAGCCUGUCCUAUAAUCGAUAACCCCCGCUAAACCUCACCAUUUUUGGUUAAUCAGCCUGUAUACCUCCGUCGUCAGCUUACCUCGUGAGCGAUCUAUAGUGAGCUUAAUGUCCACACGUCAAUACGUCAGGUCAAGGUGCAGUAAAUAAAAUGGGAAGAGAUGGGCUACACUCUCUAAUAUAGAAUAUACGAAAGACUAUAUAUGAAACCUAGUCAAAAGGCGGAUUUAGUAGUAAAAAGAGAAAGCUCUUUUUAACACGGCACUGGGGUGUGUACACACCGCCCGUCACCCUCUUCAAUACCAAGAAAUAGUAUAUAACACAUAUCAGUAAACUAGAAGAGGCAAGUCGUAACAUGGUAAGUAUACCGGAAGGUGUGCUUGGAAA
rnacentral:rRNA from 1 species